rnacentral:lncRNA from 13 species
AUGUUAACAUUCAGCUCCUCGUUACUUAAGCAGAUUUCUGCAACUGGCUUGAAUUCCUCCCCAGAAAACAGGAUUUUGUUUUCUGUGGCCAGGCUGCAAAUUUUCAAAACCUUUACACAGUGCUUUCCUUUUAAAUAUAAGUGCCAGUUUUCAUCAUUUUGUUGUUGUUGUUGUUGACACACAUGAGCAUGGGCUAUUAGAAGCAACCAGGCUCCAUCUUGAAUGCUGUGCUGCUUAGGAAUUUCUUCUACUAGAAACACGAAACCAUCACUCUCAAGUUCAAAGUUCCCAAAUCCCUAGGGCAGAGCCACAAUGCCACCAGAGUUUUGCUAAUGUAUAACAAAGGUGACCUUUACUCCACUUCCCAGUGAGUUCCUCAUUUCCAUCUGACACCUCCUGAGCCUGGUGUUCAGUGUUCAUAUCAGUAUCAGCCACCUAGUGACAACCCAUUAAACAAGUAUUUAGGAAGUUUCAACUUUUCCUUCAUCUUUCUGCCUUCCUAUGACCCCUCCAAACUCUUUCAACCUCUGCCUACUAUCCAUGGAAAAGCAGCUUCCAUAUUUUUAGAUAUUUGUAAAUGGCUGCGGUUAUAUAGGCUGUACAGGAUGCAUGGCAAGGAGGGCCUCAUUUAACUUUGAAAUAUUCAAGAGGUGAGGGAGGACCUAGCUCCUCACAUGGCCAGAAUAGGAUGAAGAUAUGAGGGAGGUGCUACACACUGUUUAACAACCACUUUUCAUAGAACUCACGGUAAUUAGAACAGCACCACAGGGAUAGUGCUAGACCAUUCCUGAGAAUUCUACUCCCAUGAUCUAAACACCUCCCACCAGGUUCCACCUCCAACAAUGGGGAUUACAAUUCAAAGGAGAUGUGGGUGGGAACACAGAUGCAAAUCGUAUCACUAUUAGAAAAAGUAGACAUCACGGAUGAGCAAAUAAGGAAUUUCAGCACUGAGAUAGAAACUGUAACAAAUGUUUAUGUUAGAAAAUAGAAAACUAUUUUAAGAGAGAAAUAUUUCUUUCAGUGGGCUUAAAAUUAUCACUCUAAUAAACACAAAAUGACAUGAUAAUUUUUUCA